GACGAACGCUGGCGGCGUGCUUAACACAUGCAAGUCGAGCGGUAAGGCCCUUUCGGGGGUACGACGAGCGGCGAACGGGUGAGUAACACGUGGGUGACCUGCCCUCAGCUCUGGGAUAAGCCCGGGAAACGUAGGGUCUAAUACCGGAUAUGACUUCAUGACGCAUGUUGUGGAGUGGAAAGCCUUGUGCGACUGAGGAUGGGCCCGCGGCCUAUCAGCUUGUUGGUGGGGUGAGGCCUACCAAGGCGACGACGGGUAGCCGGCCUGA
rnacentral:rRNA from 1 species